GUGAGACAGGUGCUGCAUGGCUGUCGUCAGCUCGUGUUGUGAAAUGUUGGGUUAAGUCCCGCAACGAGCGCAACCCUUAUCCUUUGUUGCCAGCGAUUAGGUCGGGAACUCAAAGGAGACUGCCAGUGAUAAACUGGAGGAAGGUGGGGAUGACGUCAAGUCAUCAUGGCCCUUACGACCAGGGCUACACACGUGCUUCAAUGGCGCAUACAAAGAGAAGCGUCCUCGC
rnacentral:rRNA from 1 species